GACGAACCGUGCGAACGUUGUUCGGAAUCACUGGGCUUAAAGGGCGCGUAGGCGGGUCAUCAAGUCCGGGGUGAAAGCCCCCAGCUUAACUGGGGAAGGGCCUUGGAUACUGAUGGUCUGGAGGGGGGUAGGGGCAGUGGGAACUUCCGGUGGAGCGGUGAAAUGCGUUGAUAUCGGAAGGAACGCCGGUGGCGAAGGCGGGUCUCUGGGCCGAUACUGACGCUGAGGAGCGAAAGCGUGGGGAGCGAACAGG
rnacentral:rRNA from 1 species